UACGGAGGGGGCUAGCGUUGUUCGGAAUUACUGGGCGUAAAGCGCACGUAGGCGGCUUUGCAAGUUAGAGGUGAAAGCCCGGGGCUCAACUCCGGAAUUGCCUUUGAAACGGGAUCGCUAGAGUCCGAGAGAGGAUGGCGGAAUUCCUAGUGUAGAGGUGAAAUUCGUAGAUAUUAGGAAGAACACCGGUGGCGAAGGCGGCCAUCUGGCUCGGUACUGACGCUCAGGCGCGAAAGCGUGGGGAGCAAACAGG
rnacentral:rRNA from 1 species